rnacentral:ncRNA from 1 species
GGAUAAGCCGGAGGCAACUUCGGUGAAAGGUAUGGAUCUCCUGACGGUCCUUACCCCUUGUAGAGGUGCUUGCACCGAAGCGAGGCAGAAAGUCACCCACUCUGGCAAACGGGUUCGCGCCCGGAUGUUACGCGAAUACAGAGUGUGGCGAUUAGCCCAAGGCGAUAGAAACUGAGGGCAAAUCGAGUUAGCGGACCGAGACGGUUUCGGUAUUGGUCCAAACAUGGUGCCCUCCCGGAGAGGGUAUAAUUGCUACCAUGAGUCAGGAAAUCGCGGACAGGAGGCCGACACUAUCGCACAGGUGAAAGCAACUUCCGAGGUUUAGGGGUGUAAUGAUCCGGCAAAUCGCGAAGCCCCAAGCGCUGCUCCAAAUAAGAGUAACGACCGUGAAGAGAAGCAAUUUGAGAGGUAAGAGGUCAGACCCGUAACUUCGGGCAAACGCUCCCUACCCGGGGAGGCCGACCCGAAGGAAAGAGGUGUUUAGGUGAAACAAAUACGGAUAGCCUGAAUAUCAUGUCUGGGGCAUCGAGAUCGCAAGUCACGGUGUAACAGGCUGAGAGGCCUCACUCAAUAUCUUGGUCGGGUAACCGGUCAAGCGGUCCUGCUACGAGAUCGACAGCUUCCUUGCCAGGAAGAAUAGCGUCGGGGAGCUGACAGCCUGUGAAAGCAGUGCGCCUAAUGUCAGUAUAGGACGAGAGCGUGGCGAACUCC